AUUGAACGCUGGCGGCAGGCCUAACACAUGCAAGUCGAGCGAGCGGCGGACGGGUGAGUAAUGUCUGGGAAACUGCCUGAUGGAGGGGGAGAACUACUGGAAACGGUAGCUAAUAACGCAUACCAUCAGAUGUGCCCAGAUGGGAUUAGCUAGAAGGUGGGGUAACGGCUCACCUAGGCGACGAUCCCUAGCUGGUCUGAGAGGAUGACCAGCCACACUGGAACUAAGACACGGUCCAGCAUCCUACGGUAGGCAGCAGUGGGGAAUCUUGCACAAUGGGCGCAAGCCUGAUGCAGCCAUGCCGCGUGGGUGAAGACGGCCUUCGGGUUGUAAAGCACGUUCAGCGGGGAGGCGGUACCCGCAGAAGAAGCACCGGCUAACUCCGUGCCAGCAGCCGCGGUAAUUC
rnacentral:rRNA from 1 species